rnacentral:lncRNA from 1 species
GUGGAUAUUUGACUACCUCUAGAAAACCGGUGUUCCACUGCUUUUCAAUUUCUACCUUUACUCUUUCUUAACCGAUUUGCAUCCUUCUACUAGUGGUACCAUAUACAAACCAGGCACAUCCUUGUAGGACCAGGCAAAAACAUCCAUAAAAUCUCAAAGUAAUUGUCAUCACCCAAUUUUGGGUGAUUCCCCAAAAUUCAUUUUUUUCACAAAAAUAAAAAAUAAAAAAAUAAAAUAAAGGCUGGCAAUGCGGAGAAAGCCGACCAAGAAAGGCUGCAAAAUAGGCGGAAAUCAAGCUGCAAUUUUCGGAGGAAUUUCAAGGCCCAAGUGUACGCUGUUAGGCCCAAAAAUAGAAAAAUGCAAAUUCAAAGGUCAAAUUAAAUGAGUAUUGGACGAAUUUGCAUAAAAAUUAAGUCCAAUGACAUAAUUAAAUUUUUAAUGGGCCAAUUUAAUUUAAUCAUGGGCCAAAUUUAAUUUUAAUUAUGUUUAAGAAUUAAUUUAGGUCCAAUUGAAGGAUUUAAUUAAGUGCAAGGACUUAAUUAUACUUUAAGCGGGUCAAAUUAAUUUGAGGGCUUAAUUGGUGAAAAAUUAAGUUUGGGAGCUUAAUUUGGACUUAAUUGAAAAAUCAGAAUUUUAAGAGACCCAAUUUAAUUUUUACCAAGUGAAUUGAUUGAGAUUAGGGGCCAAACACAAAAAUUGAGGGACCAAUUUUGAAGCCCGAAAAAAUACUCUGCCUAUAAAUAGCACCCUUUAACUCAAAACCUGGGGGGUAAUUUUGACAACAUCAGAAAAAAAUACAAAAAAACCUAACCCUAAACCCAUUUUUUUCAAAGGAGAGCCGCCGCCCCCCUCCCUCUUUGAUUGUAUUUUUCUUCUUGCUUGGCCACGGUCCCGCUCUUCUCCCAUCUUCGGCCACUACACUGCUCUCCCUUGGCUCAAAAGAGCUGCUGCUCGAAACCAUCAUCCCUCUGCCCUAGCCGCUGACCGCCGGCCAUUUCCAUAGACCAGCCGACACAAGCUUCCUGCUCCCCUCUCUCAGCCGCACACAACCCCCCGGUGGUCUCCAUUUUUUCCUCAAACCGGCGCCAUCCUUUCUUCCUUCUACCACACCGCCGGUCCCUCUCUGUCUCCCUUCCUCACACACUGCCAAGCCGGCCAUUACAACUCAAACAACCCACAUCAACCUCCUACAGAGCAGCCGUCCCAACUCAGCUUCUUUUCCCUCUCAGUUGCAGGAGCAAGGGACGAACGGAGUGGAGACCCAGCUCCCUCCUCACGUCGCCUCAGCAGCAGCGUCUCCUCAUCACAGCGCCGCCGUCUCUAGCUCCUUCUCCACGCACGGCUACACCCAACCGAGACCCAGCUCCUCCAUUUCAACGGAUCCUCUGCUCCUUCGGUCUCCUCCACAGCCACCGAACGGCGGCAGCAAGCCACAGCCGUCUCCUUCAACCAGCGCCCACAGACCAGCAGCUCCAUGGUCCAGCGACCGGCCACUUGAAGAAGAAGAAACCGGAUCUGCAGUGAAGCAGAUCCAACCGUGACAGACCCGAAGGAACCGGAUCUAAGAAAAAUAAAACCAAAAGGGACGGUUGCUUGCGUUUUUUUUGUGUUUUGCAGGUGACGGUGACUCACCGCCGGCGUAGGAAGACAGAGGGGAAGAGGACAUUCCCGAUCCCCUGUAUUUUGGAGUUCCUCACGCGCCGCCAGUGAUGGUGGCGCGUUGGAACACGCGCCGCCAGCUAUGCCUGUGUCCAAUUCCUGUGCAGAAGGGUUUCUAUGCAAUUUCUGGAGUUUUGGGGGACUGACUUGUAAAUUUCGGAUUAUUUAAUGUAAUUUAGUAUAAUGUGUAUUGUGGAUGUAAAAAGGAAAAGUAAAAGAAAAAAGAAGAAAAAGCAAGAAAAGAAAAAAAGAAAGAAAGAAAAGAAAAGAAAAAAAUAUAAUAAAAAAAAUGUGUUUGUGCUUGUAUUUUUUUUAUUAUGUUAUUGAAUUAUAAAAAAAAGAAAAAAGAAAAAAAACAAAAAUGCAUGUUUGUGUUUAUUUCAGGGAUCCUUUUAUAAUGAGACGGCAAAAGAAUAAAGAAGGAUUUAAUAUUUUGAUUGGAUCACGGUGUAGAAGUACAAACUUGUACGAAAGUUGUAUUUCUAAAUUCCAAUGAAAAGACAAUUUUUAAAACUUCUUUGACACAUCAUAACCGCAAAGCAGCUUACCUCAGGUAGGGUGUGUUAGGGUGCUAACACCUUCCCUAACCACAAUCAGUCCCUUACCCGCGAAUCUCUGACAAGACCAGUCAACCUGGGUUUCCUAGUAACCCUCAAUUAAAUACUAGGUGGCGACUCCCAACGAAAUCAAUUCCAAUAACAGAGAGAAAAAACCGCCAUCGCCAGGACGGGGACGUCGCGCGGGGUGUUUUCCGACGCGCGACAGUAAUCAACUCUUCUCCUUCUUUAGGAGUGAUCAUAGUCCAUAUCUUCAAUUUUUCUCUUAUUUUUUCAUUGCCCGCAUCUAUGGUUUCAAAUUCCUCUCUGGCGGGUUUCCAAGCUUGUUCAUGUUGUCCUAUUUUCAUCCACUUCUUUCUCUUCUAUAGCUACUAUGUUUUCUUAAGUUUGGCCAUUCAUUCUCAGUGUAAAGUGUAAAUGUUUGUUUUGAAAGAUCCGAUUUGAAAACGGAAAGUGAUGUGUAAAAACAUCAAGAUGAACUUUUGAAAAUGCAUGAUCUCAUUAAAGGAAAAAAUAAAUAAAUAAAUAAAUUGUCUCAAAACAUUUGCUUGAGCAAACCGAUUAGGUGCGCAACAUCAUUCCAAACUCCAUGAAGCUUUCUUUGGUACUGAGCUUUUGGGUGUAACCUUUCUUCAUUUUCCAUCCUUUUCUUUAAUCGAGUGUUGUGCAUUCUAGAAGGAGGAUCUAUGUUUCUAGGUCUGAUGCGUGCAUAGAUGUAUAAGAAAAUGCAUGACAUAAUGAAUGAUUGUCAUAAGAAUGCUUUGUAUAUUGGGUACGGAUGCAGCCUUCUUGUGAACGAAUAACAGCCACCGCCUUAUAAACAUAGGCUCUCUUGUUACAUUGCUAGGAGUACUGCCUUGCGAGUCGUUUGUUUGAAUCAUGUUCACCAAGAGACAGAUUUUGCAUAAGAAGAUGGGUCAAUGCCUAAUGCUUGACAAGUUUGUUACCUUUCCUCCACAAACUCUCUAGCCAAAGAUAAACAGGCAAAGCCGCGAUUCUCAAUCUUCCCUAGAAAGGGUUUUAGCUAGGCUUCGGCGCUAGCGAAUGCUGUCCCCCUCCACUUUUCAUGCAUGGAUUCNNNNNNNNNNNNNNNNNNNNNNNNNNNNNNNNNNNNNNNNNNNNNNNNNNNNNNNNNNNNNNNNNNNNNNNNNNNNNNNNNNNNNNNNNNNNNNNNNNNNNNNNNNNNNNNNNNNNNNNNNNNNNNNNNNNNNNNNNNNNNNNNNNNNNNNNNNNNNNNNNNNNNNNNNNNNNNNNNNNNNNNNNNNNNNNNNNNNNNNNNNNNNNNNNNNNNNNNNNNNNNNNNNNNNNNNNNNNNNNNNNNNNNNNNNNNNNNNNNNNNNNNNNNNNNNNNNNNNNNNNNNNNNNNNNNNNNNNNNNNNNNNNNNNNNNNNNNNNNNNNNNNNNNNNNNNNNNNNNNNNNNNNNNNNNNNNNNNNNNNNNNNNNNNNNNNNNNNNNNNNNNNNNNNNNNNNNNNNNNNNNNNNNNNNNNNNNNNNNNNNNNNNNNNNNNNNNNNNNNNNNNNNNNNNNNNNNNNNNNNNNNNNNNNNNNNNNNNNNNNNNNNNNNNNNNNNNNNNNNNNNNNNNNNNNNNNNNNNNNNNNCCGCGCUCCUCGUCAAGUUUUUGCUUCAAUAGCCUUAAACCUUUCCUUUUACUCUCUUCCUUUACAAUCUCCGUCAAAUGGUUUUCCAACUCCAUAUAUUUCUUGUUCAAAUCCUCAUACUUCCUAAUCCUAUCCAUCCGUUCGAAUUGAACUUGUGCAGAUUUUUCUUGGGUAUAUUUUAUGCUUCUUUGGCAAUCUUUAAAGUCAAUCUUCAUUGCUUCAAGUUCAAAGCAACUUUGCAUCCAAUCCAAACUCAUCCCUCCUAGCUCCUUCUCACUUCUUUCCUAGCAAUCUUCUCUUCACCUAGCUUUAACUCAAGCUUUGUUAUCCUCGCAUCAAUAGAUUGUAUUUGCUCAUCCUUUCUGCUUUUGCUCAAUUCUAUCCGAAACUUUUCCACUAGUCUUCCUUAUUGACCAUUUUCCUCUUAAUAGGCUCUUCUAUAGUUUGGGGAGAUUUGGCUUCUAUUAGCUGAAGCAGCUAAGUCUCUCCAUCUUGCAUAUCUUUCACUUGCACUUGGAUCCUUUAAACCUCCUAUCUCAACCAAAACCAGAUGCUUCCAAUCUUGUUUGAUGAUCUCCACAACUUCUUGUGCAAUGGGAUCUUCGAACAAACCAAAGAAUUGAGCAAUUCCUAUAGUCCUUGGAACAAAUUGCAUGCCCCCAAGUUGCCUUACCACAAGGGUAGGAGCAUAACUUACAUAACUUGUGAUCCUUACCAAAAGCACCCAGCGUCUUUGCCCACAACUCACCAAGACAUCCACUAUAGUGACCCACGGGGCUCUCCACUGAAAUCACUAUUAGGCAAACCUUCUACUUUGUCAACCCAAACCUGGUUGCCUAGAUCUUCCCAUUCUUUUCUUCUACCAACUUCAGGGGUCUUUGGGUGAACCACGAAAAAUUAUUAAAGAUAGGCCUUUUUGUUUCGAUGUGGCUAAACAUCUAGAUAUACAACAACUGCAUGCAGCAUCUCAUUGCUCCUUUUCCGGUCUUCCUACAAUGGUUAAGUGUCACGAUGGUUUCAACUAAAUUAAAAAACCACUGGAUUGAUUUGUGUAUUCUCAUACUCUACAUAAGCAGCAGCGACCUCCAAACUCACUACAUUCGUCUGGCCUAGGAACAACACAAGGCCAAAUAUACUCUAUUUUUGAUCCUGACCUUUUUCUAGUUAAAUUUCUAACAUCCUCCACUUCAGACCGGUACCAUUCUUUUUCCAAAAACUUUUCCAAGUUGGCAAUUCUGAGCAGUUUUGACAGUUCGGGGGUGAUCUUGUCAAAUCUCAAAGGAAAAUAAAUCCUAUACAAAUUGUUUGGAAACUCAGUCAACAUCCUAUAUUGGGACAUAGGUUUAUGCUUCCAAAAGAAAAACACCGGUAGUCUGGAUCCCAAAAAUGAACUAAGGCUCGCACAGUUCUGCUUAAACUUCUACCCUUGCGAUUUCUACCAAACGUCUAUAUUUCCUAAAAAACGCAUCCUCAUCCACAUUCUGAAAGUGAGUCAUUAACUUGGUCACCUUAUUCAUAAUGCAAUUCAGGUUCUUGAUUGGUGACAACUUUUUAGCAUCGCUUCUAAGGCAGUCUCCUUCAGUCAAUUGUGACAUUUCAGAAUUUUUUCUUAUUCUAUGAUGGAAAAUUUAGCAAUGGUGGCCAUUUCAUUCACAAGUCCUGGGAAAAAUACCUUUAGGUUUAGACUUGUUUUGAUGCAAAAGAGAUUAUGGAGCAUAACUUAAAGUUAGGUUCUAGUUCUUUUAUGUGAGACAUAGGAUAGGUUUACUACUUGGUCUCUAAAAGGGGUCUCUUGCUGUCCCAGUGAUUGCCCUCGUGGAGGCAAUAUGGGGGCUUGUAGGCAAUGAGAUGGCACAUGUACCAACUAUUACCAGUCUAAGCACUCAGCGAAGAGUUGGGGUUUACACAAACUUAAACCUUGACUAACAGUCGUAAGGUAAGCUGCUAGUCCCUCACUUAACUUAAAGUUUGUGUGUGCUCUCAAUAAUCAAAGUAUGUGAUGCAUGAGACAGUUCUAUAUAAUGCAUGAACAAUGUGUAAAAAUAUUUAAAGCAUAUACGCAUGAGACAGUUCUAUAUUUAACAAUAAACGCACGAAAACAAAAACAAUUCAGACAAAAACAAAGCUUAGUCCACAAGGUCCCCAGUGGAGUCGCCAUUCUGUCGCACGUGAGCGACGUCGCGGCGAUCGUCCACCCACAAAAUAUAAAUGUAAAUUUAAUGUAAUGGGGGGAUACAUCUGGUCAAUGUGGGGAGACAAGGAAUUCGUUGUCUCUUAGUAGUGAAAAAUGGUGUGGGAGUCGCCACCUAAUAUUUUGGUCACUAGGAACCCUAACUGGUCUCAGAGAUCGGGCACGGGGACUGGUUGCUUAAAGGGAAGGUAUUAGCACCCCAAAUACGCCCUACCUAAGGUAAGCUGCAUUGUUUAUUUGUCUGAUAAAAUUCAAGGUCUCGUUGUGUUUCCUAGUUGUUGGUCCGUCUACGGUUCAAGAAAAGUCCUCCUCAAUAAGGAGGUCCUUAUCUUAUCGGGUAAAACCUAACCGUUCUAAUGUCUAUGUAUGUUGGUCCGUCUAUGGUUCAAGAAAAGUCCUCCUCAAUAAGGAGGUCCUUAUCUUAUCGGGUAAAACCUAACCGUUCUAAUAUCUAUGUAAAAAAAACAUAUUUUUAAUAUCAGGAAUACGUUCUAUAUAUAAAUUCGUAAUCCUAAAUACUAAAAGAAGACAAAAAGAUUUUUUUUAAAUUUUUGAAAUAUUGGCCUAGUUCUCAUGGCUUGAAUAAACUGGUUAUUAAAGCCAAAAUGCAUGCUAAUACAUAUAUCGUUUUGAAAUUUCUUUUGUUGUGUGAAAAUAUGAUGUUAUAAUAUUUAUAUAUAUAUAUUGGAGAGACUAGGCCGUAUGCAUGAAAACAAAACAUUUUUUUGUAAUUAUGUAUUUUUUGAUGUUUUGACGCAAAAUGGGUAUUUUAAUACCGGAUUUGUAUCUUUACAGUAUAAAAAUACAAACCGAUAUUGAUCAGAAUACAGUAAUAAAAUUACAGAAUGUCGCACGUGAACGACGUCGCGGCGAUCGUCCACCCACAAAAAAUGUAAUAUGGGGGAUAUAUAUCUGGUCAAUGUGGGGAGACAAGGAAUUCGUUGUCUCUUAGUAGUGAAAAAUGGUGUGGGAGUCGCCACCUAGUAUUUUGGUCACUAGGAACCCUAACUGGUCUCAGAGAUCGGGCACGGGGACUGGUUGCGUAAAGGGAAGGUAUUAGCACCCCAAAUACGCCCUACCUAAGGUAAGCUGCAUUGUUUAUUUGUCUGAUAAAAUUCAAGGUCUCGUUGUGUUUCUUAGUUAUUGGUCCGUCUACGGUUCAAGAAAAGUCCUCCUCAAUAAGGAGGUCCUUAUCUUAUCGGGUAAAAACCUAACCAUUCUAAUGUCUAUGUAAAAAAACCAUAUUUUUAAUAUCAGGAAUACGUUUUAUGUAUAAAUUCGUAAUCCCAAAUCUAAAAGAAGACAAAAAGAUUUUUUAGAAUUUUUGAAAUAUUGGCCUAGUUCUCAUGGCUUUAAUAAACUGGUUAUUAAAGCCGAAAUGCAUGUUAAUACAUAUAUUGUUUUUGAAAUUUUCUUUGUUGUGUAAAAAUAUGAUGUUAUAAUAUUUAUAUAUAUAUAUUGGAGAGACUAGGCCGUAUUUUAAAACAAAACAUUUUUUAAAAAUAUGUAUUUUGUACGCUUUGACGCAAAUCGGGUAUUUUAAUACUGGGUUUGUAAAAAAUACAACCAAAUAUUAAUCCACUUUGAUAAAAUAAAUGCCGAAAAAUCAACAAUAUUUUCAAAGAUAUUUUUAGAAAAUUUUUGAAAGCAAAAGACAUUUUUUAUUUUGAAAAUCUUUGAUGUUUUGAUGAAAACCGGGUAUGUUAAUACCGGAUUUGUAUCUUUUCAGUAUAAAAUACCAACCAAUAUUAAUCAAAAUACAGUAAUAAAAUUACAGAAAAUCACAUAUUUUUGAAAUAAUUUUUGAAGAAUUUUUGUAAUUUUUUCAUAUAUAUAUAUAUAUAUAUCUAUAUAAAUAAUACAAAAUAUAAUAUAUAUAAUAUAAUAUAUAAUAUUAAAUGGGCUGGGCUGGUCCGGCCCAACCGACUGGGCCGGACUCAGCCCAAAAACUGCUGGGCCGAUUUCGGCCCAAAAUGGAUUGGGCCGAUCUCGGCCCAAAAUAAAAAUAUUCUCUUCUGGGCCAGACCCGGCCCAGAAGACAGGGCUGGGCCAGGACCCGCCUGGCCCAGACUCGAAACGGGCGGGGGGAAUUAAUUUCCCCCCACCCUUGCAUGCAGAACGCUAUUCGUUCUGCAUGCAGAGAAGGAAAUAAAGGAAUAACAGAACAGGGGAGGGAGAAGAGUUACCUGGCGCGGGGUGGCGGUGGCUUCCUGCGUUUCUGGCGGUGCUGUGGCGGAAGCUGGUGGCGGCGACUUGUUCACGGACAGCGACUCCCGGCGGCGCUGCGGCUGUUUCCGACGGUUUGGUUCGUUCUCUCCGUUCCUCCCUUUCUCUUUGUUUUCUCGGUUUCUUUUGUUUUCGGGUUGGUCCUUCCUCUCUUCCCGUUACUCUUCGCUGUUUUUUUUUUUCGUUUUCCUCUCUUCCUUCUCUCUCCUUCGUUCUAUCUCUUCCCCUCUCUCUCCUCUGUUUUUUUUUGUUUUUUCCUUGCUCCUCCCCUCUGUUCUCUUCUCUUUUUUUUCUCUCUUUUUCCUUCUCGUUCUCAGCGUUCUUGGCCUCUAUUUAUAGAGGCCAAGGACGCUGCUUUUUUACAGCUCUCAUGGGGGAGCAGCCGGCUGGUCGGCCAUUGGGCGCGGCUGCCGAGGUUCGGUGGGUGGUGCGCGGUGGAUGGUCGGCCAUUGUGUCCGGUCGGUGGGCUCCAGGCGAGAGAGUGGCCGGCAAAAUUCAAAUUAAAGCUUCCCUUUCUCCUUCUUCCCCGCUGCGUGAUCGGGGGAAGAAGAUGAACAGUGUCGUUUCAAAACGACACCGUUCUGCUCUUUCUCUUUUUUUUUUUUGUUUUUGAAUGUAUGAAACGGCGUCGUUUUGGAGAAAACGCGCCGUUUCAUUUAAAUGUGGCGCCAAAACGCGCCAAAUUUCAAAUCAGCCCUCAAUCAUCUUUUCUUUAUUCAAUUGCAUCCCUGCCAAUUUCGGUCUCCGUCCCUCUUGUUGGCCGCGUUUUUCACUUUAGUCCUUGGUGUCUGAUUGAUGCAAUUGAGCCCUUAAUUGAUCAAAAAACUUCUAAUUUCUUCAAUUAGGCCCCUGAAUCAAUUAAUUCCAGCCCCUCCAUUUACGCGCCUCUUCCAAUUUGGUCCUUGGUUUCGGAUUCCUUCAAUUAAGUCCCCAAUUGGCCCUUAAACUUCAAUAUUUAUGCAAUUAGGCCCCUGAUUUGACCUAAUAAAUUCCUAAAAAAUAUAUUUUGGCCCCAGAACUUAAAUUUCUUCUAAUUAAAGCCCAAAUUGACUUAAAAAUCAAUUUUUCUUGCAAUCAAAUCUCCUAUAAAUUCAUUUAAAAAUCCAAUUAAGUCCAUAAACAUCUAAAUUUGGGCUUUUCUCCUCAAAUUUCAAAUUUUCCUUGUCAACAGGGCUUUCCUCCUUCAAGAAUAUAUUAUCAAAAAUUCCAUCUUUGUAUUUUUAACCUUAUUGACCAAUUUUCCAACCAUUUUCUGGGCGCUUCUGCCUCCUGUUAUUUUUCUAACCUCCUUUGGCUAUAUAUUUUUAUAUAUAUUUUGUGGGGACCCAAAAAUGGGUUACAACAGAUGCCCCCUCUUUAUAAUGCUUACGGAGCAGAGGUUUUGCGCAGUAAGUUUUAUAAAGAUAAACCAAAACUGAGCUCCCGAAACUGAUCUAGUCGGAGCUCGAUUGCUCUGAAACCUUGUCCUUACAGCAAUCCUCCUUAACCCAAAAACUAUGAUCAAAAUUUGGUCAUCUCGAGGUCCCUUCUGGUGAUCUCCUUUAACCCCAAACUUGGAAUCUCAUCUGGCGAUUCCUUUACCCAUAACCAAAUACAAAAACGUGUGUGGUCUUAUUAUAACGGGUGACCUGCCCGAAUGGAAAAAGGAAAGAGUGGUCUCAUUAUUAUGGGUGACCUACCCAGGAAAAAUAAUGGUCUCAUUGUAUGGGUGACGAACCCAAAAAACAUGAUGGUCUCAUUGUAUGGGUGACUAACCCAGGAAAAAUGAUGGUCUCAUUGUAUGGGUGACUAACCCAGGAAAAAGAUGGUCUCAUUGUAUGGGUGACGAACCCAGGAAAAAGAUGGUCUCAUUGUAUGGGUGACGAACCCAGGAAAAAGAUGGUCUCAUUGUAUGGGUGACGAACCCAGGAAACAUGAUGGUCUCAUUGUAUGGGUGACUAACCCAGGAAAAAUAAUGUGGAAAACGGUCUCAUUAUGAUGGGUGACCUACCCAAAUGGAAAGAAUGUGAAGUGCGGUCUCAUUAUAAUGGGUGACCUACCCAGGGGAAGAAUUCUUAGUAAACUCCAUGCUUUUCUAAGAAAUAGUUUCAAUACGAGGUCCCUUCUAGCGACCUUCCUUGAUGAAUGACGAAGUACGAGAUCCUUUCUGGCGAUCUUAAAUAACUUGGAAUCCCAACGGGCAAUUCCUUUUACUAAAGCUAAAACAUGAAGUUCCUUCUGGCGACCUUCAUCGAAAUACAAGAUCCCUUCUGGCGAUCUCCUUUAUCCAAACAACUUGGAAUCCCAUCUGGCGAUUCCUUUUAACCAACAUGUAAUACGAGGUCCCAUCUAGCGACCUCCAAAUAGCGAAACACGAGAUCCCUUCUGGCGAUCUCCUUUAAUCAACUUGGAAUCCCAAUCUGGCGAUUCCUUUUAACCAACAUGAAAUAUGAGGUCCCAUCUGGCGACCUUCAUCAACUUGGAAUCCCAUCUGGCGAUUCCUUUUAUUCAAAGCUGAAAUACGAGGUCCCUUCUGGCGACCUCCUUUGACCAAUAUUGAAAUACGAGAUCCCUUCCGGCAAUCUCAAACAACUUGGAAUCCCAUCUGGCGAUUCCUUUUUCCUAAGCUGAAAUAAUGAGAUCCCUUCUGGCGAUCUUCUUUAAUCAAAAAACCAAAAAAAUCUAUUUUGUAAAUCGGUCAACCUGGAAUCCCAUCUGGCGAUUCCCUUUAACCGAUUGCUCGAUGUCGUUCCUCCUGAUGGCAGGGUUUGAAAAUUAUUAUCUUCUCUUCUCGUUGUUCUAGAAUCAACUUAAUGAUUCUUUCUUCAUCUCCAAUUUUGUUGGAACGCAUUAAGGUCUCCUCCUAUAAUGAUCCAAAAAACAUAUACGCAAUGAUUUAUGAUUAGAUGUCAUGCAUGCAUUUGUACCUGGUUUUGAAACAUAGGCCCCAUCAUCUUCUUCUAUUUCAUGAAACUCUCUCUUGAUAUGAGCUUGCUUUUGAAGUCGUAUGCUGGAUUCAUUUCUCGUGCUGCCUAUCAUAUCUUUGAGAAGAAGUCUUUGACUUUCUUCAAGUAGUCCUUUUCUCAAAAUGUAUGACUUGUACUUGCCUCUUUGUCAUGCUUUUGUCAAAUGCUUUAGCUUGGUUUUCAAAUCUAUGGGCUUCCAACCAAUUUUAAACACGUAAAACUUUUCAAAAAAACGACUCGUUUUGCCCCCAGUGUAGGGGUGUGAUCCUAGUCUGGGCUUUUAUAGAGAAGAAAUUCAUUCAGCCAAUGAUAAACUUUUUAGUGCGUGAAGGGAUAAUGAUGAUUUUUUUUUUUUCAAAAUGCACAUUGUUAUGGUUGAUAAAGACAAUUACAGAUGAUUAUAAAGUGACCACUUAAUCAUUUAUCCAUUCAUUAAGCUAUCAGAGAUAGGGAUGUACUUUAGGGUUAGCUUUUCUUAAAUUUCAUAUUAAACCAUUUUAUGACAUCCACUCAAACUUGUUCAAAAAGUGCACAAGCUCAUCAUUUAUUGAAAAAAGGUAGGUCAAAGAUAAACAUAAAAUAUGGCUGAAAACAUGAGCCCUGACUGCCAAAUAGAAAAAAAUAAAAGUAAUAACAAAAGCAAAUGACAAAAACAUGCUAAGGCAAAUAAAGUUGUUUUACAUUUUGAAAACUACGAGAAGUUCUUGGGUCAACCCGUUCUGGAAAGUCAACCGAGGCAAUGCUUCAUCUUCCUUCCUCAUUUGCGUUUCCUUGUCUUCUCUUUCGAUCUCGCCUUCUUCAUUAUUGACGAUUCUUGACCAAGGUUUUCCAACCCUUUAUCCCCUAUUACUUUUGUCAUUGCUGGGCAAUAGAUUUGAAUUGAUAUUGGGUGUGUCUUCAAACGACACCCAUCCUAUCUUGAUGAGCUUCAACAACAUGCUCUUGAAAGCGUAGCACGUUUCAAGACAAUGUCCGGGAAUACCAGCAUGGUACUCGCAAGUCAACUCGGGCUUAUACCAGAUGGGGAAUGGUGGUUGUAGUGGUAAUGUAGGGAUAGGAGCUAUUUGUCCAAUGCUCAGUAGUUUGGCAUACAUUUCCUUCAAAGGCAUGGGUAAUGGCGGUAGUUGUUCUGCAAUGUAUCUUUUGUUUGGUCUUUGGUCGUUGUUUUGGAUGUUUGACUGGUUAUUUGCUCGAUUAGGGGAAAAUGGUUUGUUAAAGUUUAUGUGGGCAACAUGAGAGGUAGGUAUUUGUGGGUUGAGUGAAUCCACUAUAUUGCCCUCGGACCCACCUUCAAAGCCGUAAAUAUGACCUCCCAUUUUUCUUCCCAUAAAACCCUUCGCCUCCAAUGGCUCAACUAUACGUCCAGCUUUUAUCCCUUGCUCUAUUCUUUCAGCUAUGCGUACCGCAUCGUAGAAAUGCUGAGAUGAGCUACCCAUUAGGUGCUCAUAAUAUGGUGCUUUAAAGGUAUUGGCAAACAAAGUCACCAUCUCCGUUUCUAUCAAAGGAGGUUGCACAUGAGUGGCCUCGUCCCUCCAUCUUUGCGCAUAAACCUUUACUGACUCUUGGCUUCUCUUUUCCAUUGACAUAAGGCUUGUUCGAUCUGGAGCAAUUUCCAAAUUGAACUUGUAUUGCUUAAGGAAAGCCUCCACUAAAUCCUUCCAUUUCUUAAUCCUGGUAUUAUCCAGCCUCAUGUACCAACUUAGCGCCGACCCCGAUAGACUGUCUUGGAAAAAGUAGAUCAGUAACUUAUCGUCAUGAAUCACCUCAGCCAUCUUAUUGCAAUAAGAUCGAAGGUGAGUGUUUGGGCAUUCCAACCCAGUGUACCUUAUAAACUCCGGUAUCCUAAAAUCUUUUGGUACCGUGAUGUUUGGCACCAAGCAUAUUUCAGACGCUCGCAUGGGGUCAAACCAGUCAUUUCCCUCGACCGCUCUUAACCUUUCUUCCAAGGCUGAUAUCUUGUCAUUGUUCAUAAAUCCAGUGGACCUAUUAUCGGAAGGCCCAUCUACAGUGAUGUGAGCUUGAGGGGGCUGAAUGGGAAUGGCAGGCGCAAAUUGCUGCCCCGUCACUGAAUCUGCCCCCAAGUUCUGAGAUACCCCCGGGACAUGAACUGACGGUGCUCCUAUAGGUGGUUGGGUAGACGUUCCUUCCCCGUUCUUGGCUCUUAAGAGUUGCUCAAGUAGAUUGGUUAGUCGAGAAACUUCAUUUUUCACUGAUUCCAACUCGGUCUGGUAGUGCGACUCUAAGUGAGCUCUUUCUUCGUUUUCCAUUCUUGAUCUGGACCGGGUUUGGUGGACUCUGGAUGUGGGACCUAUGUUUCACGAUCUGGAAUGCAUAUGAUAAUUUAAAAAAUAAAUGCGUGAUGAAAAUAUGAUGCUCGUGCAAAUGUAUAUCUUAAAGUCGAUUCAUGACUUUCGUAAUCCUUUAGGCAAGAUUUCGGCUUAAAAACCUGGAUUGAUGAAUUAUUAAUCAUGAUGCAGAUGAACAUAAGAUAGAUAUCCUAAGGACAAGUUCUAUUUAUUAGGUGAGGAAACGGUAGGUUUUCUAUCUGGUCUUGAAGGGUCUCAUAUCUGCCCAGUGACNNNNNNNNNNNNNNNNNNNNNNNNNNNNNNNNNNNNNNNNNNNNNNNNNNNNNNNNNNNNNNNNNNNNNNNNNNNNNNNNNNNNNNNNNNNNNNNNNNNNNNNNNNNNNNNNNNNNNNNNNNNNNNNNNNNNNNNNNNNNNNNNNNNNNNNNNNNNNNNNNNNNNNNNNNNNNNNNNNNNNNNNNNNNNNNNNNNNNNNNNNNNNNNNNNNNNNNNNNNNNNNNNNNNNNNNNNNNNNNNNNNNNNNNNNNNNNNNNNNNNNNNNNNNNNNNNNNNNNNNNNNNNNNNNNNNNNNNNNNNNNNNNNNNNNNNNNNNNNNNNNNNNNNNNNNNNNNNNNNNNNNNNNNNNNNNNNNNNNNNNNNNNNNNNNNNNNNNNNNNNNNNNNNNNNNNNNNNNNNNNNNNNNNNGUCCACCCUCGAAUGUGUGAUAUGGGGGAUAUAUAUCUGGUCAAUGUGAGGAGACAAGGAAUUCGUUGUCUCUUAGUAGUGAAAAAUGGUGUGGGAGUCGCCACCUAGUAUUUUGGUCACUAGGAACCCUAACUGGUCUCAGAGAUCGGGCACGGGGACUGGUUGCGUAAAGGGAAGGUAUUAGCACCCCAAAUACGCCCUACCUAAGGUAAGCUGCAUUGUUUAUUUGUCUGAUAAAAUUCAAGGUCUCGUUGUGUUUCCUAGUUGUUGGUCCGUCUACGGUUCAAGAAAAGUCCUCCUCAAUAAGGAGGUCCUUAUCUUAUCGGGUAAAAACCUAACCGUUCUAAUGUCUAUGUAUGUUGGUCCGUCUAUGGUUCAAGAAAAGUCCUCCUCAAUAAGGAGGUCCUUAUCUUAUCGGGUAAAACCUAACCGUUCUAAUAUCUAUGUAAAAAAACCAUAUUUUUAAUAUCAGGAAUACGUUUUAUGUAUAAAUUCGUAAUCCCAAAUCUAAAAGAAGACAAAAGGAUUUUUUUAGAAUUUUUGAAAUAUUGGCCUAGUUCUCAUGGCUUUAAUAAACUGGUUAUUAAAGCCGAAAUGCAUGUUAAUACAUAUAUUGUUUUUGAAAUUUUCUUUGUUGUGUGAAAAUAUGAUGUUAUAAUAUUUAUAUAUAUAUAUAUUGGAGAGACUAGGCCGUAUUUUAAAACAAAACAUUUUUUAAAUAUGUAUUUUGUACGUUUUGACGCAAAUCGGGUAUUUUAAUACUGGGUUUGUAUCCUUGCGGUAUAAAAAUACAACCAAAUAUUAAUCUACUUUGAUAAAGCAAAUGCAGAAAAAUCAACAAUAUUCUCAAAGAUAUUUUAGAAAAUUUUUGAAAGCAAAAGACAUUUUUUAUUUUGAAAAUCUUUGAUGUUUUGAUGAAAACCGGGUAUGUUAAUACCGGAUUUGUAUUUUUACAGUAUAAAAUACCAACCAAUAUUAAUCAAAAUACAGUAAUAAAAUUACAACAAAAUCACAUAUAUUUUUCUAUAAUUUUUGCAUAAUGUUUAUAAUUUUUUCAUAUAUAUACAUAUACAUAUAUAUAUAUAUAUAUAUAUAAAUAAUACAAAAUAUAAUAUAUAUAAUAUAAUAUAUAAUAUUAAAUGGGCUGGGCUGGUCCGGCCCAACCGACUGGGCCGGACUCAGCCCAAAAACUGCUGGGCCGAUUUCGGCCCAAAAUGGAUUGGGCCGAUCUCGGCCCAAAAUAAAAAUAUUCUCUUCUGGGCCAGACCCGGCCCAGAAGACAGGGCUGGGCCAGGACCCGCCUGGCCCAGACUCGAAACGGGCGGGGGGAAUUAAUUUCCCCCCACCCUUGCAUGCAGAACGCUAUUCGUUCUGCAUGCAGAGAAGGAAAUAAAGGAAUAACAGAACAGGGGAGGGAGAAGAGUUACCUGGCGCGGGGUGGCGGUGGCUUCCUGCGUUUCUGGCGGUGCUGUGGCGGAAGCUGGUGGCGGCGACUUGUUCACGGACAGCGACUCCCGGCGGCGCUGCGGCUGUUUCCGACGGUUUGGUUCGUUCUCUCCGUUCCUCCCUUUCUCUUUGUUUUCUCGGUUUCUUUUGUUUUCGGGUUGGUCCUUCCUCUCUUCCCGUUACUCUUCGCUGUUUUUUUUUUUCGUUUUCCUCUCUUCCUUCUCUCUCCUUCGUUCUAUCUCUUCCCCUCUCUCUCCUCUGUUUUUUUUUGUUUUUUCCUUGCUCCUCCCCUCUGUUCUCUUCUCUUUUUUUUCUCUCUUUUUCCUUCUCGUUCUCAGCGUUCUUGGCCUCUAUUUAUAGAGGCCAAGGACGCUGCUUUUUUACAGCUCUCAUGGGGGAGCAGCCGGCUGGUCGGCCAUUGGGCGCGGCUGCCGAGGUUCGGUGGGUGGUGCGCGGUGGAUGGUCGGCCAUUGUGUCCGGUCGGUGGGCUCCAGGCGAGAGAGUGGCCGGCAAAAUUCAAAUUAAAGCUUCCCUUUCUCCUUCUUCCCCGCUGCGUGAUCGGGGGAAGAAGAUGAACAGUGUCGUUUCAAAACGACACCGUUCUGCUCUUUCUCUUUUUUUUUUUUGUUUUUGAAUGUAUGAAACGGCGUCGUUUUGGAGAAAACGCGCCGUUUCAUUUAAAUGUGGCGCCAAAACGCGCCAAAUUUCAAAUCAGCCCUCAAUCAUCUUUUCUUUAUUCAAUUGCAUCCCUGCCAAUUUCGGUCUCCGUCCCUCUUGUUGGCCGCGUUUUUCACUUUAGUCCUUGGUGUCUGAUUGAUGCAAUUGAGCCCUUAAUUGAUCAAAAAACUUCUAAUUUCUUCAAUUAGGCCCCUGAAUCAAUUAAUUCCAGCCCCUCCAUUUACGCGCCUCUUCCAAUUUGGUCCUUGGUUUCGGAUUCCUUCAAUUAAGUCCCCAAUUGGCCCUUAAACUUCAAUAUUUAUGCAAUUAGGCCCCUGAUUUGACCUAAUAAAUUCCUAAAAAAUAUAUUUUGGCCCCAGAACUUAAAUUUCUUCUAAUUAAAGCCCAAAUUGACUUAAAAAUCAAUUUUUCUUGCAAUCAAAUCUCCUAUAAAUUCAUUUAAAAAUCCAAUUAAGUCCAUAAACAUCUAAAUUUGGGCUUUUCUCCUCAAAUUUCAAAUUUUCCUUGUCAACAGGGCUUUCCUCCUUCAAGAAUAUAUUAUCAAAAAUUCCAUCUUUGUAUUUUUAACCUUAUUGACCAAUUUUCCAACCAUUUUCUGGGCGCUUCUGCCUCCUGUUAUUUUUCUAACCUCCUUUGGCUAUAUAUUUUUAUAUAUAUUUUGUGGGGACCCAAAAAUGGGUUACAACACAGAAAAUCACAUAUUUUUGAAAUAAUUUUUGAAGAAUUUUUGUUCGAACGGGCCAGACCCGGCCCAAAAGGAGACUGGGCCGAAAUCGGCCCAAAAUAAAACGGGCCUACUUUCCACAGGGCUGGACUCAGUCCAGCCCGAAACAACAGUAACCGGGUUACUGUACAUGCACAGUGCAUAACAAAUGAAUUAUAAUUAUUUCCGCAUAGUAACCGCAUAGUAACCAGUGAAUUAUAAUUAGGUGGUUACUGUGCUCCACACAGUAACCACCUAAUUAUAUUUCAUUUGCUGCAGAACGUGAAUUGCUCACGUUCUGCAUGCAAAUGAAGACGAACAAAAAAUGGACAGAGGAGAGAAAGGAUUACCUGACGGUGGCGUUGAUGGUGACAGUGUUAUGGCAGCAAUGGCUGUUUCAAACGGUGGAGAGAAAGAGACCUGCGAGAGAGGUUAUUGUUCUUCUCUUUCCCUCUGUUAUGUGUUGCUUCUUCUCUUUGAUUCUUUUGUUCCCUCUGUCAACAAUGUUCUUCCCUCUCUGCAGCGGCUUCGUGGAGGUGCUGGCGGCGGCGGCCUGGGGAGUGGCUUGGACGGUGGUCGACCUUUCUUCUUCUUCUUCUCUGUGUUUUUCUUCUGCUCUAUUCUCCUCUGUUUCUGUUUUAUUCUUUUCUCUCCUCUCUGCCCGUUUCUUUCCCUCUGUUUUUCUCUGUUUUUUUCAUUUCUUCCCCUCUCUUCUGUCCGUUUCCUCCUCCCUCUUCUCGGUUUGUUCUCUCUCCUCUCCUCUCUCUCCUCCUGGUCCGUUUUACUCCAGUUUCUCUCCUCUCUUUCUCCUCUGUUCGCCCCUGUUUUGUCUUCUCCUUUUGUUGCUGAUGGUGUUUUCUGCUGUCAACAAUGUUCUUCCUUCUCUGCAACGUCUUCGUGGAGGUGCUGGUGGCAGGGCAUGACUGCGGCUGCUCCUCCUCCUGGUGUUGUUGCUGCUGCUGGGAUGGAGGAGAAAAUGAGGUCGGUCUGGGGCUCCGUUGACAGAGAAGGCUGUUUCGGGUGCAGGGAAGAAAUGGCCGAGAGAGGGGAAUGGCCAGGAGGGGGACUGUUUUUGGGUGCUCUCUCUCUUUCUCGUUCCAAAAACACGCCUCCCCUUUUAGUUUUCCAGCCCCCUCCCGUUCAACAAAACUCUCCUCGUUUUAAACUUCUUCCUCUCUCCGUUUCAAAAAGUUUCCCCCCCCUUUUUCUGUUGUGUUGGGUGAUAUUUAUAGAGCAAGUGGGUGUGGCUUUUGCUGUUGCGCAUGGGAGCGGGUCUCGCGGCGGCUGGUCGGCCAUUGGGUGCUACUGUCGAGGUUUGGCUCCAAUGGCAUGGAGCGCGGCGGGUAGAGGAACAGUGUCAAAACAACACUGUUCAAAUUCUUUUUUAUUAUUAUUAUUAUUAUUAUUAUUAUUAUAUAUAUUUUUAUUUGUGGGGACCCAAAAAUGGGUUACAACAGUCUACACUAUCGUUUAUUAAACCCUUAUUUUUAGUGAAGCAUAACUUCAUCCAUGUUAAAACAUUAUCAAAAGAGAAGUUACAUAAAAGAAGAUGAGAAUUUAUUUAAUUUUUCAAAGUACGCUAAAGAUAAUGUGGAAAGUGCUCCUAACAAUUCCUUUAAAAAAAAGACUAAUCUUAAUUCACGUGUAUGUUGAUCCGAGCAUGAGAAAAUUAACCUAUCUUCGAAUUAAAUUUUUUUGUUAAUAUAUAGAACAUACAUGUUAAAAACUAUAUAAGGUCAUGCCUUAUUGUUGAAAAUAUUCGACCAAUAACAUAUAUCGAUAAUCAAUUGUUGUGCAUUUGUUUUUCUAAAUAUUAAUUCAUAAAAAUCCCUUGCUUCACCAAAUGAUAUAGGCUAAAUCUACAAGUCAUUAAUUUUCAGAUUUGAUUCGACAAUCCAUGUAAGAUGCCAAAAUCAUUUGAAAGUAGGAAAACUGAUUCAGUUUCAAUUAGCUAAUUAUGGUAUAUAUUGAAGGGAUUAAUUGUUGAUGUUCUUUUUCUGUAAUCGAUGCUGAUUGUUGGAUACACUCUAGUGGUUACAUGUCUCCGGAGUACGCGAUGCACGGACAGUACUCCGUUAAGUCAGACGUGUAUAGUUUCGGUGUCUUGAUACUCGAGAUUAUCAGUGGCAAAAAGAACAGCAGUUUCUAUCAAUCAGACAAUGGCAUGGACCUUCUAAGCUAUGUAAGAGAAAAUUAAUUGUACACAUUUUUAUUUUAUUUAUGCCAAGAUCAACGACGGGGAGAAAAAGAGAAUGUUUCUGAACAUAGCUAUUGAUGGUCGCAGGCAUGGAAACAUUGGACAAAUGGGACAGCACUGGAACUAAUGGAUGCAAGCUUAGGACAUUCUUACUCCAGAAAUGAGAUCGCUAGAUGCCUCCAUAUUGCCUUAUUGUGUGUUCAAGAAGAUCCAAAAAAGAGACCAACAUUGACAACAAUAGUUCUCAUGCUCACUAGUUUCUCUGUAACGCUACCAUUGCCUCGGAAGCCGGCAUAUUGUGUGCAAAGCAGGACCGACUCGAGCUUACCAAUAAUAGGGCUGGAGUCUGACCGAUCUACUUCCACGUCGAAGCCUUUGUCCGUUAAUGAUAUGUCAAUCACAGAACUAUAUCCUCGUUAAUGCAAAGAAAUGAAUCUUCAAAACAGGCAUGCAUGUUAGUUUAUACGUACAGAAGGUAGGAGGAGAAAAUUUAUAAAAGCUGUAUAGUCUUAAAAAUCAAACAAAUUUUUUUUGUGAGCCUCUUGGUUCAUUAUGAUAUAUUUUCUUCCCAAAACAAUUCAAUGAAGAGCGCUUGUUCUUGCAUUUUAUGAAUGUAGAUUUCUAGUUGUCGGGACUUGACUUUGAUGCAAAUGUUGAUUGUGUUCUCCAAAAUUCAAAAAAUGCAAAAAAUUCCUUAGCUGACUUUGACGCCCAUGUUGACUUUGACGCCCAUUUUUAUGACCCUCCACCACACUAUCUCCCACUACCGCCAUCUUCAGCGCCUCAUGAGUCAUGACAACCCAUCCACUCAUCACCAACCAAAUUUCAAGCUCCUCCUUCCUAAUCGCAACCAACAAACCCAGUAAUGCAACGCCGAUUCCCUCCAUUCACGGCAAUUUCACGACAACUUCAACACCAGAAGCCACCGACCAGCCACAAUGAUGGAAACCCUUAGCAACAAAAUAGCUUUAACAACCUAUCGAGGACCCAAACCACCACAAUAGCAGCCUUGAUUAUUAAUUUAUUUAAAAAAAAAGAGAAAGUUGUUACAUUAGAGAGAGAAAGAAGAACGAAACUUUAGGUCGCCCGAUCUCCUUCUGUAAGCGGCAAUGAACAACACCGCCAACACAAAAACAAAGACGAAAAGGAGGCACACCUUAUAGGCCCAUCCAGGCGCCUCCUAGACCCGCGCAACACGUGCAACGACGAGCCAAAACUUUUAUUCUGCACUAGCACGUGGCUUGCACGCGCCUCCAUUGCAUCUUUUUUAUCCAACCGCCUCAGCUCAACUCUAACCACCUAAUGACUUUUUGAAAAAAAUUUAAUACAUUAUUGAAUUUAUUUAUUUAUUUUGAUAAAAUGUUCCUUAUUUUUUGAUUGAUGAUUUUUAUUUAAUUGAUGAUUGCAGAAAAUUAAAAGUUUGGGGUCCACACUAUUGAGUGG